rnacentral:tRNA from 1 species
GGGCCUGUAUUUUAGUCCGGUUUAGAAUCCUCGGUUGGCAAUCGGGGGACCCGAGUUCGAAUCUCGGCAGGUCCA